UACGUAGGGACCGAGCGUUGUCCGGAAUCAUUGGGCGUAAAGAGCGUGUAGGCGGCCUUUUAAGUCCUGCGUGAAAUCCUGCGGCUCAACCGCAGACGGUCGUGGGAAACUGGAAGGCUAGAGUGCGGGAGAGGAGAGUGGAAUUCCCGGUGUAGCGGUGAAAUGCGCAGAUAUCGGGAAGAACACCCGUGGCGAAGGCGGCUACUCUGGGACGGUACUGACGCUGAGACGCGAAAGCGUGGGGAGCGAACAGG
rnacentral:rRNA from 1 species